rnacentral:rRNA from 1 species
UACGUAGGGUGCGAGCGUUGUCCGGAAUUAUUGGGCGUAAAGGGCUCGUAGGCGGUUUGUCGCGUCGGGAGUGAAAACCAGGUGCUUAACACCUGGCUUGCUUUCGAUACGGGCAGACUAGAGGUAUUCAGGGGAGAACGGAAUUCCUGGUGUAGCGGUGGAAAUGCGCAGAUAUCAGGAGGAACACCGGUGGCGAAGGCGGUUCUCUGGGCCAUUACUGACGCUGAGGAGCGAAAGCGUGGGGAGCGAACAGG